rnacentral:rRNA from 1 species
UACGAAGGGGGCUAGCGUUGCUCGGAAUCACUGGGCGUAAAGCGCACGUAGGCGGCUUUUUAAGUCAGGGGUGAAAUCCUGGAGCUCAACUCCAGAACUGCCUUUGAUACUGAGAAGCUCGAGUCCGGGAGAGGUGAGUGGAACUGCGAGUGUAGAGGUGAAAUUCGUAGAUAUUCGCAAGAACACCAGUGGCGAAGGCGGCUCACUGGCCCGGUACUGACGCUGAGGUGCGAAAGCGUGGGGAGCAAACAG